GGGGGAGAUCCACGCUGCAGAGGUCAAAGAGACAACGCUUAAACCAUAUAAUCUGGGACCCCAGACCCUGUCCCCUGAGUUGCAACGGUCGCUGGCCUCAGCUCCUCUCUCCUGAUCUGCCCCAGCAGAGGGCAAUGCCCCCCCCCCCACCUCUGCCUGCCAAGAGCCCUGCUGAACUCUGGCCUGAGACAACUGUACCAGGAGCUCCAGCCUCCCUAACUUUAACCCCAGUUUGUCGUCACAACUGAAAAGGGACUGAAGUUGUCCUGAGCGUGACUUUCCUUCCAGAAGAACACAUCAGCCUCUUCUAUUUGGAUGAAAAGACUUUGGGAACCACAUGACUUGGUCAGAGCCGACCGCACGGCACCUCUCAGUGUUUAAAACCUUGAGGAAGGCUUAACAGCAGAGUAUCUGAGGUCAGAGGCGAGCAGAAUGAAUUAAUGACUCUUGUCCAAAACUUGCCCACCUCUGAGUGGGACAGGAAAGGGCUUUCCUCCCAGAAGUUAAUGUGAAGAUCCUGUGGUCGGUCGCCAGCUUCCUUCGGCUGAGUCCUCUCAGCCGGCCCUGCACACUGACUGGAGAACCUGUGUCAAUGAGCCUGUGUCACACUGCUGCAGGCCAGAUCCACCUUUGCAAUACCACACCAUCCCCGUGUACAGCACCUUCGGCCUGCACCCGCUGAAUUUAGCUGAGUGACUUUCAUCCUAGUCAGUCGAUGUCCAGCGUAAACACCGCCCCGCCAGCAAGACGGAACUCCCUAUCAAACACCACAUCUGGCCCCGGCACAUCUAAACUGCUUGCUACACUCCCUGUGCUGGCUUUGCCUUCCCAAGACAUCUGAUGGCUUUUACUCUCACCUGCCCUAACUUCCACUCCACCCUUUUCUCUUGCAAUGCCAUUUGUGCUCCACGGUCAGUGGAAACCACACGGCCAAAGCCUCACUCUUCCUUUGACCUGUCACAGCAGGGGGUCCUGGUCCUGUGAUUUCCUCUGUAGAUUCCCUGCAUGUUUAUCUACUUCUCUUUCACUGGUCGAACUCCAUGAGGACAGCAGCCAGGUCCCCUGCCUUUCACACAGCUCACCGGGUCAGUUUCAAUGCGACUUUAUAACCGGAGAGAGCUCAAGAUGGGAUACUGGCCUGAGAGACUCCACCCCACUCAAUGAGACCCCAAUAAAAAGCUUUGCAGAGCACCUGGCUCUGAGUCCUCUUAUCUGAAGUGGACUAAAAACAUAAACAUCACCUUGGCUCUUGGAGAUUUUUAUAUUCAAUACUUUCCAGCCACUCAGCUAUUGCAGACGACUAGAUGACCUUCCUUGUCUAAUCAAGUGAGAGGCUCCUAUAUUAAAACUCAAUGGCAAAUGCUCAGCUUGACUCCAUGUCUUUGAGACACGGAAGGAAGUGUCCUUUGCAGUGAUAAGCCACAGGGUGUAACUCGCUGAGACCACGUGAGGAGCUGAUGAACGAGAAGUCCAGCCUGUUUAAAUGCUAGUGAGCAAACCGCAGGAGAGCUCUGAGAUCGGGCACACAUCUCAGUAGUGAGGGCCUCCCCCAGGAAUCACUUUUUCUUGAUGGUCUUGUGUGCUGGCUACACGUGAGUUCGUUUUGGAAGAAGGACUCUCAGUUGAGAAGAUGUUCUCACCAGGAUGGCUUGAGGGCAACCGUGUGGCAGCUGUCAGUCAUGGUGAUUUAUGACUGCAACCUCAACUAAGACAUCCUGUUCCAGGAUCAAAAGUGGAGGUAAAGCUGUCUAGUCUUCGGGAUGACCUGCAGAGAGAAACAGUAGCAGCAUCAAGGCAGAGGGAUGAGUAAACUCAGAAGUGGCCCUAGCUUUCCAGGUCACAUGGCCUCCAAUGAGUUCCAGCCUCACUAAGACCGUUUCCUCACCACUUCAAGGGAGGGGUAGUGAUCAUCUGAUAAACACAGAGUGAACAUCAGACAAGAGCCAGACGAGAGCACCAGAGUCAUUUCUCCGUAGUCUUGGCUGUGGCUGUGCUCACUAGCGGGAGGGGAGGUGAGAGCCGCUGCUCAGAAUGAGGGAAGAUCCCCCAGGUCCAGGAGCAGAAGAGCGAGCCCUCCCUGGGGGACUCAGGACCAAGCUGUUGAAUUGUUUAAAAAGCUUUGACAAAGCCGAGGAAGGGUAGAGGCAAGAUACCCGGUAAGAAAGUUUCAUUGCCUUUUACAAUGAUAAUUCCCAUUGUGUUAUCUAGAUCCAUUAUCCCAUUAGACCCUCAAAGCAACUCCAGGGAAGGAUAAAAGGAAAAGAUCAUGCCUGAUUCAUGGAUUAUGGAAUCCAUGAGCGGGUGAAGCCAUUUGACUGAGGCAGUUGGAAUCCAACAGACAUUUUUUCAAGAAAACCUUGGUGGAGAGAAGUGGGGAGAAAGAUACGCAUUUCUCCCACCAGCUGGAGGAGCGCCAUCUGCUGCUCUACACCCCCAGGCCUACAGCUCUCCUCAGGUCUACAAGGACGGACAUUCUCCCCUGCACAUGGAGUGCAGAGGGUUCCCCACUCCGUUGCUCAUCUCUAAACUGGAAAGUUCCGGUUUCUCUGGAGACUCAGUUGUGUCCUGUGAUGUUUCUCUGGAAGCUGUCUUACGAAAGACCGUGUAACGUUUUGUGGGAGCGGACAGUUGAGAGGGCAGGUGAUGCUUAGGAAGAAGAUAACUCCACAGACAGUGAGAGGACGCUCUUGCACUGGUUCACCUUGCAACGCUUUGCUGGUCUUGACUGAUCUCUACUUGUAAUUUCAUGGAGAGGAACUCGCCAAAGAACUUCUCGUGGUGUUCCGGUUGCUUCUUGCCACUUCUGACUGGAGCUGAUUCAGCGGGGCCUCAUUGUUUCUUCUGGGUUGAGCUGCUGCCACUGACUUGUGUUUGGUGUUUGUGACUGGACUGGACUAUGGCCUCUGAUUCGUGUUUGGAAUCACCCCCCAAAGAACUACUUAUAAAUACCCACAUUUUUCAUUUUCUAUUAACCUUUCUUCGUUCCUAACUUCGGUCGGUGGGCUAGAAAGGAAGUUAAAGCAUUUAAGAACCCGUAUCACAGUAGGCUUUGAACACCCUAAACCUACACACCCCUCCCUCCAUCGGUGUCUCCUCUCACCUCACCAUAAUUGGAACUCCAGGGCGGACGCCUUAGCACUUGUCCUAGAGCGAGGCUCUUUCCCAUGGUGCUUCCUGUCGCUGAUGGUGACCGUGUGUUGACGAGUGCAUGUUUUAGCUGGGUCCGUCUGUCCCAACCCAUAGGAACAUCAACGGAGACCCCGGAGAGGGGAGUGGGAUGGAUGGGACAAGAGGAGCAAGAAAUGGAGACAAGACAGUAUUCUGAUCAAGUCUCAUUUAAACAAGCAAAAAUCACUUGCUUAUCAGCAGAAAAAUCACACAACACAGACUGGUUUUCAGGGUAAUGAUAAGAAAAACAUACGUCACAUCAGAAACCGAUGGCAUAAGUUUUGAUUUCCCAAAAACUUUUUAUUUACAAUAAGCUUCAAUUUCCUGAAGUUCUAACUAACAAUAGAGUGAAACUAAUUCUUGUGUAGAUGCAAGCUACCAGGAAGUCUCCAGUAUUCUUGGUUGGUGGUAACCCCCACGUACAUUACUUGGAAACAAGGGCCCAUGAAGCGGAAAACACCCAGCUCAGGGAAAGAGAGGCAUAAGCAGGCCGGGUGACCCCCGACAGCCAUCAGCAGAGGUAACUCCUAGGAGGUACAUCUCAUCUAUCCUUCCUCCUGUGUGUUUCCAGUGUGUGGCAUCCAAUGAACAUUUAUUUGGAGAGUGAAUCUGUGAGAUGUGUGUCUAUGGGGCAGGCCUCGGUCCUCCUGCCAUGCACCACAGCCAGCGACGUUCCCAGUAAGAACCUGGCCAGAAGGGACUCUUGCAGUCUAUGCACGGUUUAAUUUUUUUAUGAAGUGAGUUAUUCUGGUGAUCAGAACAGGCUAAAAGUAAAUUUUCAAGUCUGCCAAAA